UACGAAGGGGGCUAGCGUUGCUCGGAAUCACUGGGCGUAAAGCGCACGUAGGCGGACUCUUAAGUCAGGGGUGAAAUCCUGGAGCUCAACUCCAGAACUGCCUUUGAUACUGGGAGUCUUGAGUUCGGGAGAGGUGAGUGGAACUGCGAGUGUAGAGGUGAAAUUCGUAGAUAUUCGCAAGAACACCAGUGGCGAAGGCGGCUCACUGGUCCGGUACUGACGCUGAGGUGCGAAAGCUAGGGGAGCAAACAGG
rnacentral:rRNA from 1 species